rnacentral:rRNA from 1 species
UUAAACUGAAGAGUUUGAUCCUGGCUCAGAUUGAACGCUGGUGGCAUGCUUAACACAUGCAAGUCGAACGGUAACAGGUCUUAGGAUGCUGACGAGUGGCGGACGGGUGAGUAACGCGUAGGAAUCUGCCCAUUUGAGGGGGAUACCAGUUGGAAACGACUGUUAAUACCGCAUAAUAUCUGUGGAUUAAAGGUGGCUUUCGGGCUGUCGCAGAUGGAUGAGCCUGCGUUGGAUUAGCUAGUUGGUGGGGUAAGGGCCCACCAAGGCUACGAUCCAUAGCUGAUUUGAGAGGAUGAUCAGCCACAUUGGGACUGAGACACGGCCCAAACUCCUACGGGAGGCAGCAGUGGGGAAUAUUGGACAAUGGGGGCAA